GGACAUUUAUUCAUUUAUCAUUAAUUGCCAAGUAAUUAAUGAACCAUCAAAUCAGAAUCGAGGCACAAAGAAUUUGCUGAAACGAAUUCUGGGACCAACAGCAAAAACAACAAAAACUGGUUAAAGCAACUUUGAAAGGCAAAAAAAGAUUCAGUACUCAAAUUUCAAUGAGUUACAAUUGUCACUCGAAAGUAAAACAUGCACCCUCUAUAUGCAAGUUUUCAUAGGCCAAAAGUUCCAGCAUCUUUUCACGAACAGUGAUGCUGAAGAUUACAGGAAAAUAGAUUGAAAUUUUUAUUUGAACAUUGGCUGGAGGCCUACAAUGGAGGCCCCUUGACCACGAAACAAGCCUUUGAAAGCUUUUAAUUGAGAAAUGAUUUGCUUGUGCAAACCAACUUCAGCAGCAUAUACGGUAGAGAAAACGCUCUUUCUUAGCCGUUUGAACCUCCUCCCAAUUCUAAUCUUCAACUUAUUGGUUUUAACCUUCAACCAAGAUGGCCUUUUUCUUGGAGAAUCUGCUUGUUGGAGGGCCUUGUAAAUCAAGAAUUGUGCUCUUCUAUGCCUUACUUCAUCAGGGUCUUCCGUAUCCAUCUUGGAGUAGGCAAAUGGUCUAUUCAAGAGACUCAUUUUGCUCUGAGGAAAAACCCAAAAAUUGGUAGUAGAAGAAACAGAGGAAGAAGAUCUAAUUAGGUGGAAGUAACUUAUGCUACUGCACUAUUUAUAGUG
rnacentral:lncRNA from 1 species